CCCGGAGCCGGGCACGAGCGCGGGGAGGGGCGAGGGCGGGUGGAGGGGAGCUCGCCGCAGCCUCCGCCGCCGCCGCCUGGCCGCCGCUGCCCCGCCGCUGCCCCGCCGCUGCCCGGCACUGCGCUCCGGCCGUUCUGUGGAUGGAGGUGUCCCGCUGAGCCCGGGGACCGCCUCCCUCCGCCAGGACCCGCACAGAGACACGAAUCCCGAACAUUGCAGCGGCGCCAGAAUGGAGGCCCCACUGGUGAGUCUGGAUGAAGAGUUUGAGGACCUCCGGCCCUGCUGCUCAGAGGGACCGGAGGAGAAGCCACGGUGUCUGUAUGGCUCCUCGCCCCACCACCUGGAGGACCCCUCCCUCUCUGAUCUGGAGAAUUUCUCUUCUGAAAUAAUCAGCUUCAAGUCCAUGGAGGACCUGGUGAAUGAAUUUGACGAGAAGCUCAACGUCUGCUUCCGGAACUACAAUGCCAAGACCGAGAACCUGGCUCCCGUGAAGAACCAGUUCCAGAUCCAAGAGGAGGAGGAGACGCUGCAGGACGAGGAGGUUUGGGAUGCUCUGACAGACAAUUACAUCCCUUCACUCUCAGAAGACUGGAGGGACCCAAACAUCGAGGCUCUGAAUGGCAACAGCUCUGACACCGAGAUCCAUGACAAAGAGGAGGAAGAGUUCAAUGAGAAGAGUGAGCACGAUUCUGGGAUCAACGAGGAGCCUCUACUCACAGCAGAUCAGGUCAUCGAGGAGAUCGAAGAAAUGAUGCAGAACUCCCCGGACCCUGAGGAGGAGGAGGAGGCCCUGGAGGAGGAGGACGGGGCCGAAACUUCCUCCCAGGCGGACUCGGUGCUCCUGCAGGAGAUGCAGGCCUUGACCCAGACCUUCAACAACAACUGGUCCUAUGAAGGACUGAGGCGCAUGUCCGGGUCGGAGCUGACCGAGCUGCUGGACCAGGUGGAGGGCGCCAUCCGCGACUUCUCGGAGGAGCUGGUGCAGCAGCUGGCCCGCCGGGAUGAGCUGGAGUUCGAGAAGGAGGUGAAGAACUCCUUCAUCACGGUGCUGAUCGAGGUGCAGAACAAGCAGAAGGAGCAGCGAGAGCUGAUGAAGAAGAGGCGGAAAGAGAAAGGCCUGAGCCUGCAGAGCGGCCGCAUGGAGAAGGGGCGCCAGAUGCCCCUCAAGCGCUUCAGCAUGGAGGGCAUCUCCAGCAUCCUGCAGAGCAGCAUCCGCCAGACCUUCGGCUCCUCGGGGACUGACAAGCAGUAUCUGAACACGGUCAUCCCCUACGAGAGGAAGGCCUCGCCUCCGUCCGUGGAAGACCUGCAGAUGCUGACCAACAUCAUAUACUUAGGAGAUGAUGUGGAAGUUAUAGACGAGCAAAAAAAAAAAAAAAAGUAAGAGAUAAAGGAAAACAAGAAAAUAAAACCACCGUAGGCCUCUGCCUCUUGGUAGCUUUGCACCACCACCAUGCGGAACGCUGACCCUGGACAGAAGCUUCUAGACUUUUGCUCAAUACUCAACAAAGUUCUCUUCGCCAUGAAGGAGGAUAACGAGAAGGUGCCCACUUUGCUAACGGACUACAUUUUAAAAGUGCUCUGUCCUACCUAACCCUGCCCUUGGGAGCAGCCUUGCCGCGGGGUCACUGAGCAAGAGUCAUUCCAUCCCAGGGACCGCAUGACGCCACGUGACCUCCGACGUGUGUAUAAACGUGCAGAGCUUAACUGGAUAAACCACGAGCAGGCAGGCGCCGGCCCUGGGCUGUGGUUGCUUCUAGUCCUAUAACCAUUGGAUGCAUGACAAGGGCAGGGCCGGGCGCCGCCGGCUCUCCGCCGGAGUCGGGGGAGGCAGCCGCUCUCACACUCAUUACUAGUCCGCCCCCGGCCCUCAAAAACAGCUUACACUUUAACACUAAUUUUGAAAUAAACCUUCAUUUAAUUAAUAUUCU